CAGGUUGCAGAAGCACUGGGUCUUGGUCAGGCUGCUCUGAGGCCCCGCCUGCAAUCAGAGGGAAUGAUGGGAGUCACUCCGGAGUCUGCUGCCACCCCGGAGAAAAGUCAGUGACACAACUUCGGAGAACCUUCGGGGCAGCCUCAGGCUUAGGGCUGCAAAUGAGGGUUUUGUUUGUUUGUUUGUUUUGCCAUUCCCAGCCUGGGCUAGAUACACACUCCAGAUAGCCGCAGGGACUAGACCUACAGUUUUACUGGGUUAGGGAAGUCCCAGGGAAGGAGACUCCGACCAACGCAGGAUGGGAAGGCAGAGGAGACCCCAGGGGAGUGAGGAAGCCUCGGAGAGGUUUGCAGAAGGAGUCACAGGUUCAAAGGCAGUGUGUCAGGACAUCAAAAAGGAGUAAGAGGAAAUGAUAAGCAAGAUGAUUUCGGAGAAAGCUAGAAAGAUCUUCAGGAACUGAUGCAGAGUGAAAUAAGCAGAACUGGGAGAACAUUAUGAAAUAAUUACAAUAUUGGAUGAUGAUCAUCUGUGAAAACUUGGCUACCCUCAUCAAUGCAAUGAUCUAGGACAAUCCUAAAAGACUAAAAUGGGGAAGGACAUCCAUGUCCAGAGGAAGAACUGUUGGAGUUGUCUUUCACAUGAGUGUAUUUAUGGUUUUAUUUUGGAGUUUCGGUUAUGAAUUAGUUUGCUCUUGUUACAGUGACCAAUAUGGCAGUGUGUUUUGCAUGACAAUAAAGAUACAAUUUCAAAAAAGAAAAUGGGGAUAAUAAUAGCAUCUAUUUUCCAGGGUUUAUAUGAGGAUCAAAAUGAAAUAAUUGUGAAGUGCCUGGAACAUAGUAAACAAACACCAUAUAAAUGUUAGUUAUUAUUAAUGAAUAUUGAUGCAGCAAAUAAGUCCUUGACAGGAAGCUAUCAAUAUAUUUUUUAAAAUUUCACUACAUACAAGUUGAAUUCAUACUAGGAAUGGAAGAAUGGUGCAACAUGAGGAAAACAGUUGGCACAAUAAUAGAAACAACAAAAUUAACAAAAAUUCAUGCAGAAAAAGCCUUUGAGCUUUCAUUUAUUUUAAAACCCUCCAAAACAUAUCCACAUGCAGUUUUUCUUUAAUAUUCUCAAAAGCACUUAUGUUAAACCAAUAGCUAACAGUGUUUGCAGAAACACUAGAUUCUCUAUGCAAAUAGGUAAAGCAAAGAGGUCUUUUCUCUCUACUAUCAUUAGAUAUAAUUCUAGAAGUGCUUGUUAUAGCAGUAAGAGAAUAAAAUGCUAAAUUUGGGCAAAGAGAAUUGUCUAUGAAUGCAGAGGACCUGAUGGUUGUUUAAAAAAAUCCUUAUGAAUCUGCAAGAAAUUAAAUGAUAAUAAAUGGUAUAUUAAUAAUAAAUGAUAUAUAUAAAUGAUAAUAAAAUUAAUAACUUUAGUAGGGUAACAGGAUGCAACAAAAAUCCAUCAAAAUCAUUAAUGUUUUUACAAGUAUUAGUAAAAAGCAGGAAGAAAAUAAAGUAAAAGCAAUUCCAUUAAAAUAACUAGAAAACGAAACUGCUGGGGAAACUGGAAAAAGGUAUGUUAUAGAUCAGCAUCUCAUACCACAAAUUAAGAUAAAAUCAAAAUGGAUAUGUGAUGUAGACAUAAAGGGUGCUAUCAUUAGCAAAUUAGGGGAGCAUCGAAUAGUUUACUUGCCAAAUCAAUGGAAAAUCUCUAAUAUUACUGAUUGGAUUUUACCUUUCUCCUGCAGCUGGUCCUUUGGGAGGGUGGUGUUCAAAUAAAAAUGAGUAAUAUUGGGUUGAUACUGGAAGCCAAGGUAGAGUGUGAUGGAAAGAGGAUUUUCAGGCUCUACCGAGACUACCAGAGAUUCCUCUAGGGAAGUGAUGUUUACUGUGAUCACAAAGCAGUUUGUACUCAUGUUGAAGCUGGUAGGAUAGGUUUCUAUGCUGCUGUCUCUCCAAAGCAUGAUCUAGAAUAAGAAAAGAUUUGUUGUCUUUAAAAUUUGAGGCUGUUCAUCAAUGCCCGGGGACGGUUUCGAAUGAGUUUGUAAAGGCAAUAAUCUUUGCUUCUCUCCUCUCUUUAUUAUUUAUUGGAGAUCAAUGUUAUAGGACUCAAGACCUAAGGAGUAAGUGCCCUAUUAUCUAGUAAAACAUCCCAGAACAAACAGUGUAUUAUUGAUCGUCUAUAUAGAUCCAUUUAGUACCAUAAACCAUGAAUUAAAAAAAAAAAAAUCCAAGCACCUGAGUCUUACAGCAAGGAAAAGGAUUGGGGACUAGUACUGUGAUAAACUUCAAGUCCUGAGGUUCGUGUUUUCUCCUCCAGGCCUAAAAUACUAUAUGUUUUUGUUAAAGCCUCCAGAGUAAGAAUGUAAAUAACAAGAUAAAGUGACUGAUAUUCAAUUAAAACUAUUUCUUCCCGCCUUGGCUAAGUCCUCUGAUCCUGUCUAUUAUUGCAAAGGGCCUAACACUCAAUAUCUACCUCUGCUUCUUCCAAGAGAUCCUGAACUUGGAGAGAUUUAUGAUUAGCAGUGAGUAGGACGUUUGCAAUGCUUCCAACAAUAUCCCGUUUAUCAAAAUUCUUGAAGGGAUUAAAAGCCAGCCCAGUAACCUAAAGACAAAGAGAAACCCAUUGUUACAACCUCAGCAAAGGGCAUAAGACACCAGAAGUUAGAGUAAAUGUUGAAGGGAUUUAUAGUAAUAGCUUCUGAAAUUAAAUACAAACAUCUGGCUCAGUGUCACACAGAAAGGAAUGAAAAUGAAAAUUAAUAAAAGACGAGUCACACUGUCGUGACUCCCAUAAUCUUGCUUUUAUGCCUGACCAUACACCUGGAGACUUGCCUUUUUGCCGAGUGGUAAACGUUGUGCUCUCUAGGGCAAGGGCAAGUGAUGUGACUAAAGCUAAUUAGGAGACCCAGAAAUAAAUGCUAUCAGAAAGGACCAAGUGCCGUGUCAGUCAUUAUUCAGAUUUUCUCAACUUUAAAUAGAAAGGACAGAGCCAUAACUAGGUAGCCUUGCAUCUAGGGUAAAUUCAGUUGAGGAAUGCAAUGGCUCUGGACCUCUGAAUCCCUGAAGUUUUAAGAAGAAAACUUGGAAUAUGGAAGGUAGAAGAUAGGCUUGGAGGAGAAAUAAAACUGCAAAGACAUUGGAUCUUGGGCACAAUCCCACUUACUCUACCCUGGUUAUGGCUCUGAUAGAGAUUUUAAGAGGGAAACAUGUUGAAAUCAUUCAAAUAAUAACAAAGAAUACAUACAUUAUAUAUAGAGAGGGGGGGAGGAGGGGAAAGAGAGAGAGGAAGAUGAGGAAAAGAGAAGAGAGAAAGAUAGGGAGUAGGAGAGAAAGAAAGAAAAAGAGAGGAUGAAGAGCAAGAGAGGGAGAGAGAAGAGGAGGAGAAGAGAGAGGAUGAGGAGCAUGAAGAGAAAAAAAAGAGAAGAGGAAGGGAGAGAGAGAGGAUGAGGAAGAAGAGAGGAGGAGGGAAGAGAGGAGAAGGUGUGGAGAGAAAGAGGGAGAGAGAGGAGGAGGAGAAGAGAGAGAAUGAGGAGCAUGAGGAGAGAGAAAAAGAGGAGAAGAGGAAGGGAGAGAGAGGAGAAGGAGGAAGAGAGAAAAAGAGAGGAUAAGGAAGAAGAGAGGAGGAGGGGAAAGAGGAGAAGGUGGGGAGAGAAAGAAAGAGAGGGGGAGAGAGGAUGAGGAGAGAGAAAGAGAAGAGGAAGGGAGAGGAGGAGAAGGAAAAGAGAGAGGAGGAGGAGGAGGAGAGAGAGAGGAACUUGGAAUGUCAUUUCACUGAUAUAGGGAAUUCCUGGAUGAGGCAAUUCAUUCCACCAAUGCAAGGUGGCACCUUCUCUAUAAUUUAUGGUUUUAGAGCACUGAGAGAUUAUAGGUAGGUCUUAAACUCAGGUCUUCAUGACUCUGAGGCUGGCCCACUAUCUCUUCCCUCUUGCCAUGCCACUUCUCACAGAGCAGAAAAGCCUGUGACAUAUGCCAAUAUAUUGCUCCUAUACAUUUCCACAGGAUUUAUGUAUAUAACAAGGUUUAUGUACUGCUCUCUUGAGUCAGCUCACAUUCAUAAGAGUAAUGUGACGAACUAUAUGACCACAACUACAAAACACUUUCCACACAACUAAAACUAGACUUGAACAAUUGGAAGAACAUUGACUGCUCAUGAGUAGGACGAGCCAAUAUGAUAAAAAUGACCAUCCUACCCAAACUCAUUUAUCUAUUUAGUGCCAUACCCAUUGAACUCCCCAAAUUUUUUUUUACCGAUUUGGAAAAAACCCUGACAAAGUUCAUUUGGAGGAACAGGGGAUAUGACUGAGGAGAGACUCUAAAUGAACACUCUAGAGCAAAUACCAACAACACGGAAAUGGGUUCAAAUCAAGAACACAUGUGAUACCCAGUGGAAUCAUGCGCUGGCUAUGGGGUGGGGGGGGAAGAAAAUGAUUUUUGUUUCCAAUGAAUAAUGUUUGGAAAUGACCAAAUAAAAUAAUGUUUAAAAAAAUGUGACGUUUAUCUAGCCCUUCAGCCAUGGCCAUCAGAACAGGGUUCUGUUUAGAAAUAACUUCAUACUCACAUGAAUGUUGACACUUUGGUGUUUAUUGAGGAGAUUGUCCAAAGCAGAGGCUGAUGGGAAACUUAAAUGCACAGGAGCUGGGUACUGAAUAGUGUAAGAGCUCAAAGACAAAGUUGAUAUAUUUUGACUGAGGAAAAAAGGGAAGAUGGAAUUAUUAUUUUUUUUCCAGAAAACCAGAACUCUAAAGGGAAGCUCCUUCCUUCGUCCCUUCUUCCUUACCUUCUUAGCAUCAUAGUGGCAAAAGAAGAGGUCACUAUCAGUGAAGACUCUGAAGGUUGGCUGUCCUGAAGGAAAGACUCCUGGAUCUUCCCCAGGGCUAUCAAAGAUGUCUCUAACAUGUCUUCCAUCUACAUUUAAAUGGAAAUACCAUCUAUAUCCUCCUCUCUACUCACCCGUCAGUGUACUUUUGAAGUGACAGUGUAGACAGAGGGAAAAUAAAAUUUCAAACAAAGAUGACCAGAUGUACCUUUUAGUUAUGAGACCCCAAAGAAGAGACCUUCAGACUGACUAAAGAUAGAUUAACCAUUAUUGAUUAAGAGAGAUAAUCAGGAAAUGUCUUUUUGCCCUAUAGCCAAGGCUGACCCUAAAAAUAUCAUGAGGCAUAAAUGUUUAAUUUUCCAAGAAAAAAAAGAUGUUAAUUUGUUCUCCAAACUGCUCAUUUCUUGGAUAUGGGAUUUCACUGGUAUUAAAGAAGACUAGUAGUGAUUAACGAUUGGGGUUUGGGACCCAGGGGAAUGUUAGGUUGCAAUUGCUGUACUUUUGAUUCCAAUGGCAGAAUUGUUCUAAAACCCUGGAGGGAGAACAUGUUGCUCCAGGAUCUCCAGAGAGUGAAAAGAAUGAACGUUUUUACCCAAUAGCUAAAGAUUCUACUCUUACCUGCAUGGGAAAUGGGGCCUGAAACUCACUGUUUCCAAAACCUUCAAUCUUAUAGUUGAGGCAAAGGGCUAUUGGAGCUUUCAGACUGGAAGAAUUCCUAUUCCAAGAGUGGCCCAUCAGCAACUGCUCACUCAGAGAACCGUGAGGCAAACUGUGUCAGCAUCUGGAGGAUCUCACAAGCUCUCUGCAGUUUCUGGACAAAUGGCGAGCCAUGAACUGAUUUAUUAAAGUCUCCUGUUAUGAUCUGCAGAGGGGUGGGGGGAAGAAGGGGGAAGAAAACAAGUAUUUAGUGGCGGUUGUCUCAGAUGUGAGAUAAGGGAUUUCCAUACAUUUUUCAUUCCAACAUUUUGAACAGUCAUUUCUGUUCUCCCCUACUUGGAUUUCUGUUCUGGCCAGCUCUGAUUGAAUCCAUUCAUCGCUUCUGGUUAUGGCUCUUGGGGAGCAGCCUGGUGUUUGCAGGCUCUACACUUUCAGGUGGCCAGAGGAGACACUAUAAUCAUCGGGGGAAGGAUCUUAUCCCUCUUUGUUGGUGGCUCCAUGCAUGCACCAUCUGCUAAGUCAGUCAACUGCUCUACUAUGUCUUGGCACACUUACAAGCUUAAGGAAGGCAGAACAUGGCAACUUUGGACUGCUUAUACCACUGCAGUGCUCCAAGUGUCACAUGGAGUAUACACCAUCGAGACGGGGCGCACUACAGUCCUGAUGGACUCUAGAGACUUUUCUGAAGGUGGCUACCUUUAAGGAUUUCCUAAAUGAAAUGUGAAAAAAGGUGAAAAAGCCCCCAAACACUGUACAACAGAAAUGUACUAUGACCAACCCAAGGUUUAUGUGAAUAUGGGAAUGAGAGACACGUGUGUUCAUUUUCAAAAGUGAAAGAAACAGGGGAUUUGGAGAAAAAAAUGUAUAGUUAGAAGACAUAUUUUUCUUUAAGUUUAUUAGACUUUGUCUCAUUUUCUCAGGAUAAAGUUCCUGAAAUUUGAUGUUAGGAACGGGGGUCUCAGUACCAAUUAACAAGACAAGGAGGUAGGAAGAUUGUGGGAAACCAUGGAGAAAAUGGGACAUGGCUUCAAAGCUUAAGAGACUGGCUUUAAUUGGAACUCUGAUCCAGGACAGUUCUGAAGGUCUGAUGAGAAAGAAUGCUAUCUACAUCUAGAGGAAGAAUUGUGGGGGCAGAAAUCCAGAAGGAAAUAUAUGAUUUAAUCACUUUUUUAUGUGGGUAUAGGAUUGGGGGUUUUGGUUUUAAAAGAUUACGCUAUUACAAAAAUGAAUAAUAAGGAAAUUUAGUAAGUUUCUGAGAUCUGAUUUGAACCCAGGACCUUCUGUUCUUAGGCCUGGCUCUCUAACCACUGAGCCACCUACCUGCCCCUGCCUCCACUUUCAAUGAACGUUUGUACCUGAUAAGAUGCAUUGUGAAAAGAUUCCUGGAGAUUCAUGGUCAGGACAUCCACGUCUGGUGGUUCUUCAGGGACCGCAGAUAUGGCGGACACAGGCUUUUCAGGUGGGAAUGUUGUGUUUGGGGGCAUUACUGAUGAAACCAGGGCAUUGUUGGACAUUUCUUGGCACAGGGUUUUUGACUAGAAAAUAUAAAGAAAAUGAUAAUAAACGAGAAGAUCUGCUCUUGCGCAUCGUUAAAGAAAUGAAA